rnacentral:rRNA from 1 species
GAUGAACGCUGGCGGCGUGCCUAAUACAUGCAAGUCGAGCGAACAGAUGAGGAGCUUGCUCCUCUGACGUUAGCGGCGGACGGGUGAGUAACACGUGGAUAACCUACCUAUAAGACUGGGAUAACUUCGGGAAACCGGAGCUAAUACCGGAUAAUAUAUUGAACCGCAUGGUUCAAUAGUGAAAGACGGUUUUGCUGUCACUUAUAGAUGGAUCCGCGCCGCAUUAGCUAGUUGGUAAGGUAACGGCUUACCAAGGCUACGAUGCGUAACCGACCUGAGAGGGUGAUCGGCCACACUGGAGCUGAGACACGGUCCAGACUCCUACGGGAGGCAGCAGUAGGGAAUCUUCCGCAAUGGGCGAAAGCCUGACGGAGCAACGCCGCGUGAGUGAUGAAGGUCUUCGGAUCGUAAAACUCUGUUAUUAGGGAAGAACAAAUGUGUAAGUAACUAUGCACGUCUUGACGGUACCUAAUCAGAAAGCCACGGCUAACUACGUG